AGUCCGUGUUUUACAAAUUCAGUCCGCGAUUUGUAAAACACGGACUCAGUCCGCGUUUUCCCGGUCCAGUCCAGUCCGGUCCAGUCCAGUCCAGUCCGUCUUUUACAACAUGCCGUCAGUUCCAGCUCUGUGCAACUACAGACAAAUAAUUAUCCACAUUUAUUAUUAUAACAUUGUUUACAUGGCAUAUAUAGAAACGAAAAAGUUCAAAUAAUGAUCUACGUACUUAAGUUUAAAGGGUUCGUAGCGGUCUUUAAAUAUACUUUCAAAUGACGCAAGCAAACUGAUCACAACAUUUCAAUAUAUAAAGGGACUUGU